AUAAAAGAAAUUAGCGGGGGUUGGUCUCUUUCAUUGUGGGACAACUAUUUCGCAAUCUAGUUAGAGGAUAUAGGGACAGUCCCCAUGUUGAUGUGAAUGUUGUCUCGACUAAUUGGAGGUGGGGUUGUAGUUGAUAUUAGUGAACAGAUUAGAAAAGAGCUGGAAUGGAGUGGAUCGGAUUUGUUAAGAAGGAAGAUGUUUGGCUGCGGCGUAUGGAUCCUUUUUCUUAGCAAAGAUUCAUGAUCAUGACCAAACAAGGUGCUGAGGUUUAGUAAUCAUAGGGGAAAAGUUGACCAGUGAGGGAUUUCAAGUCCCAUGGUUUUAUAUGCAUGGAAAAGGUUACAAUCUACAACUGGAACCAAGCAGUUUGACAUCAAGAAUCAAAUAUGUAUAGUUCUCUGUUCUUUCCAAUAGUCAAUCUUACUAUAUGGUGUUUUUUUUUUUCCUCUCUUUUGAUAAGAAAGUCUCUUGUAAUCAAGUCUUAAGGAAUCAUGGGUCAAGCUCACCUGGUUGAGUUGAGAUUUUGUGGGGGACUGGAGACUUUGCCCCUUUAACCAACAACCUCCAGCUUCCUAGUGAAUUAUUCUGCAGUUGAAAGACAAACAUGACAAGAUAGAAAAAAAGUUAUUUCGAUUGUUUUCAUAUAAAAUUUUUGUUGAAUAACAUAAUCAUAUUGAAGUAGUACAUCCUGUUAUGAACCUAA